rnacentral:rRNA from 1 species
AAACAUGGCUGUUUGUUUUUUAAAUAGUCUUACCUGCACACUGUAAAAAUAAAGAGCUGCAGUAUUUUGACUGUACUAAGGUAGCAUAGUAACUUGUCUCUUAAUUGGAGGCUUGAAUGAAAGGUUUAACGAAAGAUGACUUUUUCUUUAUUAACCAGGAAUUUAACUCUCAGUUAAAAUUCCGAGAUAUUGUUUAGGGACGAUAAGACCCUAUAAAAUUUUACUCCUUGUAUUUAUUAGUUUAGUACUGAUUAGUUUAUUGGGUUUGGUUGGGGCAACUGGAAUAUAAAAGUUAAUUGUUCUUUAUAUUUACUACAUUAGUUUAUGGAAAGGAUGACCUUAAUAAGAUCUUAAGAAUAAAUUACUUUAGGGAUAACAGCGUAAUUCCCUUUAAAGUUCAAAUUAAAGAGGGAGUUUGCGACCUCGAUGUUGAAUCAAUGAAUCUUUUUAGUGCAGAAGCUAAUAUAGAAAAUCUGUUCGAUUUAUAAUUCUUUACGUGAUCUGA